GGAAAGUGGCGCACGGGUGAGUAACGCGUGGGUAGUUGCCCAACGGUGGGGGAUAACAGCUGGAAACGGCUGCUAAUACCGCAUACGCCCUACGGGGGAAAGAUUUAUCGCCGAUGGAGAUGCCCGCGUCUGAUUAGCUAGUUGGUGGGGUAAUGGCCCACCAAGGCGACGAUCAGUAGCUGGUCUGGGAGGAUGAUCAGCCACACUGGAACUGAGACACGGUCCAGACUCC
rnacentral:rRNA from 1 species